GACGAACGCUGGCGGCGUGCUUAACACAUGCAAGUCGAACGGUGAAGGGGUCUGCUUUUGUGGGCCCUGGAUGAGUGGCGAACGGGUGAGUAACACGUGAGUAACCUGCCCCCUUCUUCUGGAUAACCGCAUGAAAGUGUGGCUAAUACGGGAUAUUCUGGGUCUGUCGCAUGAUGGGUCUGGGAAAGAUUGCGCCUUUGGGUGUUUUUGGUGGGGGAUGGGCUCGCGGCCUAUCAGCUUGUUGGUGGGGUGAUGGCCUACCAAGGCGGUGACGGGUAGCCGGCCUGAGAGGGUGGACGGUCACACUGGGACUGAGACACGGCCCAGACUCCUACGGGAGGCAGCAGUGGGGAAUAUUGCACAAUGGGCGCAAGCCUGAUGCAGCGACGCCGCGUGAGGGAUGGAGGCAUUCGGGUUGUAAACCUCUUUCGCCAGUGAAGCAGGCCUGCUCCUUGUGGGUGGGUUGACGGUAGCUGGAUAAGAAGCGCCGGCUAACUACGUG
rnacentral:rRNA from 1 species